ACAACGAUGUCAUCACCAGAGAGCUCAGCAAGUAUAAGAAGGGCCUCAGGCAGAGACUAUGUGGAGAUCCUAACACUGGCAAGGAAGUGGAGUCGUGUGCAGUCUGUCUGGAUGGAUGGAGGAAGGGAUACAAUGGAAGCUGUUAUUUCUUAUCCACUGAGCGGAAGUCCUGGGACUUUGCUAACGAGUCCUGUUCCAAACUCGGGGCUCAUCUUGCUGUGAUUGAGAACAAGGAGGAGCUGGACACCAAAUACAGAGCUAUAACUGGAUACAGCUAUUACUGGAUUGGACUGCGUAGAAAAGAUCCUCACUGGCUUUGGGUUGAUGGCACUCAGCUUGAUGAGAAGAUUUCAGUUUCCAGACAACACCAACAGGAUCAUUGUGCCUCUGUGUAUGGAAGUGGUGUAUAUGCAGAGUCGUGUAACAGAGAUUAUCCCUGGAUCUGUGAGCAGGAUGCUGUGCGCUUCUGAGUGAAUCCACAGACUCUUCACUUGAGGAACAGAGAAGAUCUCAUUGCAGAGCCUGAGUGUGAAUGUUAUGAAUCCGCUGAGCAACUCGCUGCACUUCUACAGCUCCAUUGAAGAGGAAACACAGAAAAUUAGCAGCAGGUUUUAGAACAGGGUUUCCUUUUCAAAGAGCGAUUCAAGACCUAACCGCUGUGUAAAUGAUGUUGGUUUUUUUAGAUUUCAGAAUAUGUACAUUUCUUUACACUAUAUUUGAGUGUUUAAAUUAAUUUCUGUGACAAUUAAAAACACGCAAUCAGGAUGGAGUUUGCUUUCCAUGCAAUGUGAAUUCACCCCAUACCCUGUUCACAGUUUAGUUGUUGUCUUGCUCUAUUGAUUUAUAUUUGAUGUUAUUUCUAGCAGUGUACAGAUGAGAAACCAUUUCAUUUUAUAUAUUGGCCAGACAAGUGCUGUCCUAUUACUAGUUAGUUUACCAGUACUAGUGUUACUAGUUUAGUGAUGCUACAGCUUUUCCAGUUUGCUUUGCAUCGAAUGCUGAUUCUGUUUUUAAAUGUUAAGCAUGUUAAUGGCUUAUUUUUGUAAUGCUCGUCUCAGAUCUUCCUGUAGUAAAAUACCUUGUGGAGA